rnacentral:rRNA from 1 species
GUGCAGCAGGCGCGAAAACUUUACAAUGCGAGCAAUCGUGAUAAGGAAACCCUGAGUGCCUGUCAAUGCAGGCUGUUCUGGUGUCUAACACACACCAGGAGAAAGGGCGGGGCAAGACCGGUGCCAGCCGCCGCGGUAAUACCGGCUGCUCGAGUGAUAGCCACUUUUACUGGGCUUAAAGCGUUCGUAGCUUGGUCGUUAAGUCUCUGGGGAAAUCUUUUGGCUCAACCAAAAGGCGUCUCAGGGAAACUGACGAUCUUGGAACCGGGAGAGGUAAGACGUACUUCGGGGGUAGGAGUGAAAUCUUGUAAUCCCCGAGGGACGACCGAUGGCGAAGGCAUCUUACCAGAACGGCUUCGACAGUGAGGGACGAAAGCUGGGGGAGCAAACCGGAUUAGAUACCCGGGUAGUCC